UGGGAUGUAUCACAGCUGCCUGAAUGGCCUC
rnacentral:piRNA from 1 species